rnacentral:rRNA from 1 species
AGUGAACGCUGGCGGCGUGGAUUAGGCAUGCAAGUCGAGCGACGUGUUUUUAGCUUUUUGUUGAAGCCGCAAGGUGGAUGCAGAAGUUUGAAAAAACGAGCGGCAAACGGGUGAGUAACAGGUGAGUAAUCUUCCUUAAAGCCUGGGAUAGCUUCGCGAAAGCGGAGGUAAACCCAGAUAACACUGCGAGUGCACAUGCAUUUGCAUUUAAAGACAGGACCGCAAGGCCUGUCACUUUUUGAUGAGCUCGCCUCCUAUCAGCUAGUUGGUGGGUAAUGGCCCACCAAGGCUUAUGACGGGUAGCUGGUCUGAGAGGAUGGUCAGCCACACUGGGACUGAGACACUGCCCAGACUCCUACGGGAGGCUGCAGUCGAAGAAUAUUUAGCAAAUGGGACGAAAGCCUGACUAUGCGACGCCGCGUGAGGGAU